rnacentral:rRNA from 1 species
GUGAGGAAUAUUGCGCAAUGGAGGCAACUCUGACCCAGCCAUGCCGCGUGCAGGAAGACGGUCCUCUGGAUUGUAAACUGCUUUUGAAUGGGAAGAAACGUAGCUUUGCGAAGCUAUUUGACGGUACUAUUAGAAUAAGCACCGGCUAACUCCGUGCCAGCAGCCGCGGUAAUACGGAGGGUGCAAGCGUUAUCCGGAUUUAUUGGGUUUAAAGGGUGCGUAGGCGGCUUUAUAAGUCUGGGGUUAAAGGCGGCAGCUUAACUGUACGCAUGCCCUGGAAACUGUGAAGCUUGAGUGACUUGGAGGGAGCUAGAAUUCCCUGUGUAGCGGUGAAAUGCAUAGAUACGGGGAGGAAUACCGAUUGCGAAGGCAUGUUACUACGAGUAAACUGACGCUGAUGCACGAAAGCGUGGGGAUCAAACAGGAUUAGAAACCCUAGUAGUCC